rnacentral:tRNA from 1 species
AGCAGCGUAGCUCAGUGGAAAGAGCAUGGGCUUGGGAGUCAGAGGUCAUGGGUUUGAAUCCCUGCUCUGCCA